GCUCCCGUAGUUCAAUGGACAGAAUAUCGGCCUCCGGAGCCGAGGAUUUGGGUUCGACUCCCAACGGGAGUA
rnacentral:tRNA from 1 species